rnacentral:misc_RNA from 1 species
UUAAGUUCAGCGGGUAUCCCUACCUGAUCCGAGGUCAAACUUAGGAGGUGGGGGUUGGGUGGCCAGCGACCGCCGGGUCCCUAUAGCGAGGAUAUUUACUGCGCUCAGGGCCUCGACGGCACCGCCACUGGUUUUAAGGCCCGCCGGGUUAGCAGCGGGGCCCAGUACCAAGCAGUGCUUGAGGGUUGUAAUGACGCUCG